AACAAAAUCUUGAUCUUGGUUCACCUGCUUUUGACUCUGAGACAGAGCCACCCUUCCAAGCAGAGGAUGGGAACCAGGAUGCCCUGCUCUGGCCCACUGACCAAUGUUGCUGACCUUCAGGCAUCUCAGCUCUGACAUCAGACCUCUUCUGGCAAAAAGGACAGCUGGUUAAAGCAGAUGCUUUCCUUGUGCUUGGUGUCUGUUGCAAGUAACCUCUGUGUUCUUCCACGUUACAAUGUGUUGCAGGCAAGUGGAGUGUUUCUUGGGAUUUGACGUUGCUGUAUUGCCUAUGAUGAAAGCCAGCUUGCAAAUGGGCUUACUGAGGUAUGGCAACCUUUAGCACAGCCAAGGAAUUGUCUCUGUUCCCCAAAAACUGAUGCUCUGCAUGUGCCAGCUCUUUCCAUUGCUAUCCCACAACAUCUAGCUGAGUGCUUGCACACUCACCACACUGCUGGAUCAUCCUGUCAUCCCAGCCCUUGUGUAGUGGUGCUUGGCCAGAGGUUGUUGCCUCUAGGAGCAGCCCAUAAGGUGUAUAAACACCUGUGUAGUGCAGGUACCUGAAAUGUUUGCAUAGCACCAUUCUCCUGGCAACUCGGCCUUGCUGGUUUGUGAUUUUUUUAACUCCAUUAUAUCCCAGACAAUGUGAUAGACCUGUUUUAACAAGGACGAUUUUAAGGGUGGCUUAGCACUUCCAAGCUCAGCUAGGGAAAGGGAGAGCCAACAGGAGUGCAAUCCUCAGCUGGAGGGAGAAGUAGUGGUAGUGGGAGUUUUCUAUUCUGAUAAUUACUCCUAGCUCUUUCCUUUUUUCUUUUCCUCAAUUAUAGCAGUAUGUGGAAGAAUGGACAAGUGAGAAAAAGGAUGGAGAAGUGGCAAAACCACCAGACACAGCUGUGAGAAUGAAAUGAGGUCCACGUGACAUAAGAAGCCUUAAGUGGUUAUUAUCAAUAUAAUCGCAGCAAAGGUGUCUGUUAGUAAUCAGGAUUAACCUAGUAUGUCUCUAGUCAUUGAUUUGGAAAAGACUGUAAAAUCUCUGCAGUGAGGAUCUUCACUCUGUGGCCAUUCCUUCUGUGCAGUUCAGUCCUGUUAACUGCUCUGAGAACAGUGGGGGGAAAUCCUUACCCGAGGAUGCAUGAAAAGGUACAGACAACAAAACCUAACAAUAUUUUUGUGCAAAGCACUGGUGUUCUUGAUUAAUAGUCCCUAGAUUGCAGACAGGAGGUUUUAUGGGGCCUUAUUCUGCACUUUUUAACACUGGCUGUUCCUAGAGAGUUUUAGGUGGACAAAAAGAAGCAUUAGCAUGGGCAAAACAUGCUUUUGCCAUUAUGACAGAUUAACACCCCCAGAAAUUCUGCUGCCCACCUUCCCUCACUGGCAGUGAGCUGCUAUCUCUGGAGGAUCUCUGUGUGCUCUGCAAAGGGCCCCAGUGCAAACCCAAAUGGUGCAAGCCGUUCUCCAGGUGACUGGCUUUCCUGGUUGGAUGACCAGCAGCUCCACAUUAGCAGGACAGGUGUGUGCUGCAGCAGUUGGGCAAAAAGGUUGAUUUACCCACGUGAAAUUUCAAAAGGGGGACAUAAGUGGUGUGAGUGGGAAUGGCUGCCCUGAGCACCUUGGGCAGAGCUUGUUCUUGCGCUCAGCUGCCUCAGCCCUAGGGCAAGCUUGAAAGAGAAUUAGAUGGUUACAAGGAAAUAAAUUUGGCAUCCUGGAGUUCUUCUGCCAUCUUGACUCUUCCAUGCAUUUUGUUAGACAGAGAUCUCACAAAAAUGUGUGUAUUCUGAAGGGCUGCUUCUGUCUGAAGUUGUGGGGAUGUUGAUGACCAGUUUGCACUGAGCUGUCCUGUCCUGCCUUUGCUGCUAUCAGAGUGCAAGUUUUAGCUAAAGGUAGCUUAUGUGUGCUCAUGUGUGGUGAGCACACCUCUGGUUUCUUUUAUCUGAGCUGCUUUUAAAUGUGAAAUCUCUCCCUGAGCAGGAUUAACCAUGGCAUAAUGAAUCAAACUGCUUGGAGGCUUUUUCUCAUGAUCUAGUUGAAUUUGGCAGUUAACUUCCUUCCUUCUCUUCUAGUUCUAACAAUUGGAUUUACCUCUAAGUUAUCCUUCUUUCUUGGAACAUUUUAACAGGAAUCAGAGCUGCAUAUCUUUUCCACUCUUUCAUUGUUUUCCCUCCUAAAACAGUUCCUCAUAAUUCUUGGUCAUUUUUUAUUCUAUCUUUAUUUCCCACUUUCCCUCCUAGUUUCAUAAAAACAAAGAAAAGAAAAAUGUUGAGCCUCUUCUCCUAGACUGAGAGACUGUAGAACAGCAUACUUGGAUUGCUGCUGAGGUAAACAACACAGUUUCUUGUGGUUCAUGAAAGUGAUUCUUAAAUUUUGAAUGAGACAGCUUUGUGAUGCAGAAAGCUGAGACUGCCAGUUAUUCAACCAAAGCCUCUGCUUCCCAACAGGGAGCAGUCAGGGAGAAAGGAGAACACCCAGUAGACUGUGUGUAUACAGACAAGGCUCCUUCUGGAAAUUAAAUGGUUUAUCUAAAGUUAUCAGACUGCUGACUGCUCUUUAAAAGAGGUACCUCUGGGCUGGGGAAAGAACUGCAGUUCUAUUUGUCAAAUCUGAAGGAAGAAUGAUCCUGGAAUUUAUUAUCCUAUGUGUAAUUUUUGUAUUUAGCAGAAUACUGAAAGCAGGAUUUAUGAACUAAACAAACCUGUUUCCGGAAGAUGAUGGCAGCUCUGUGCCUUUAGCAGUAGUGGCGGCACAGUGAAUGUAUCUCACCAGAAAAUCUUUUAUUUUAUAGCACAAUAAAAUUAGUGAAUGAAAGCAAAAAGAGGUAUAAUGGAUCUGGGUUUUAACAAGCAUAUGAAUCGGUAUCUCAUGAGAUCUUACCUGAAAAAAACAUAAUUGUAUUUUGCUGGGAAAAGACAUGUAGAGAACAAAAGGAGAAUAAUAGGAGAGAGAAUCUUGUGACCAUGGUUGGAGAUUUGACUAAGAUGAGUGACCUGGUGCUUUGGGCCUCAGCCAGUGGGUUUAAGUCCUUGCUCUGCCACAGACUUUACAAGGACUCAUCAUUUCCCUUUCUGUGUUUUUUUUCACAUCACUUCUUUCCUUGGUUUGCCAUCAUUAAACAAAAAAUGAUACUAUUGUCCUUCCUGCUUGUGAGAAUGAUGGCAUUUAACAUUGAGAGAUUCCAUGAACCGCAGGAGUGCAGACCAUGCAACAAUAUUGGAUUUUUCCACUGUCAUAUGAGCAAUUAUAACAAGUUAUCCAUUUUUCAUUGUUUCAUGCUUCAUGCACAGGGCAGGCAGACUUGAUUUGCCUACGAUUUUGUGGGAAGGCAAAAAAGAUUUAUCUGAUGUUUGGAAAUUUCCUGUAAUUGCAGCACAACAGAAAAAAAGGUCUUUUGCUUUUCCUCCAUCCUGGAAAUGGGUAAGAGGAGCUCUUUGGUGAGGCCAUGCAGUGACAGUUCAGACUCAUGGCCAUGUCAUUUAGUGUUUGCGUGGCUUCUUGGUGAUUUGGAAUGAAGGGGAUUGGCUUCUCUGUCCCCCUGCAGCCUGGGGACACUGCUGUUCCUGGGCCCAGGAGCAUUUGCUAUGCCCACUCCCCUGAACACAUGUGCUGGCCAGAGAGAUUGUCUCUAAUGUAGGCUGGGCAGCUCUUCCUCACACACUCUUCUGUAUCAAACACUUCCCACCUUGAAAACUUCCUUGGUUAACUGCUCAUUUCAAAAUCGUUAUUAAUGUAUUUGCACAGGGAUUUUGGAAUUUAAUUAGCCUCUUUUGAACUGUUCUUAGAAUGUUUGUCUAGAGAAACAGAAAAUCCCUCCAUGACUUGUUUGCUUUCUCCAUUUGUUGGUUUUCACUGGAAGGGGAAGAUACCGGCGGGGUUUGCAGGGCUGCAUCCUCCUGGUGCCACUGGUGCUGCAGCUGGGGAUAAGCCACAGGCUCUGCAGAGGAAGCAGCUGGUUUUGGGGUGCAUCAAGGCCCCUCCUGGCCAGGGCUGGGUUCGUGUGUUGGCACAGGCUGGGCUGCUGAGCACGGUAGGACUUGGCCAGCUGGUGACAAGGGGCUGUGCAGUGUCCCAGCACACGGCUUGCCCUUACUGCUGACCCAGGCAUGUUUGCACCCAGACAGCCAUGCUGGCUGAACUGGGCUCCCAUUUCCCUCCUCAUGAGUUUCCUUCGGGAAAUUCAAAUCCCUGAGUGAGAUCUCACUUCCAGAGACCAAUUGGCACAGUGUGAUUUUCAUCUCACUUUUUGGAAGCACCAUGUUCAGAGUAGCAGUUCUGCCAUACCCCAUCCAGAACAUGUUGCAGGCUGUGCAUGUUCAUGUGUGCAAAUCUGCAGGCUCUCAGUUUUCAUUUGAAGGCUGGUUUAAGUUGGAUUUUCUUCCUUUUGUCUGAUCCUUGAGAAGCCAGGCUGGGCAGAGCAGGACGGGGUUUCUGGUGUUCCCUACUGCCGUGGGAGCACAUGCGCUCUCCUUCUCUCUGGCAAACCACAGUGGUUAUGACCACUGCCUCUGGUAGUGUUGUAUUGGUCCCAAAUUGAGGAAGGAUGACUAACUUAAUCACUCGAUAGUUUUGAUUUCUAAAAUUAAACAGCCUGCCAUAUGUGCAACCCCGUUACUAUAUUUAUGCCAGCAGUUAGCAGACAGCACCAGCCAAGCUGGAGAGGCUUUGCAGCUGCAGCUUGUGCCUGUGCUGCUGCUGCUGCUGUGAGCACACAGAUGUUUCUUUGCCCUUUCCCCAAAUGCAACUCUGUGGACAUUUCUCCUGUGGAAACAAAAGCACUUGUACUCAUAGAACUUUCUGGACACUCUUCAGCCAUUGUUUUGUAAACGUGUCCUGAUGCUCCCUGGUGAACCUCAGCUCCCAAGAACGGGUGGAAGGAUUCAGGGACUGGAUCAAACCCAGGAGACAGCGCAGCAAGCCAAAACUGAAGGCUCUAGCCCCAGUGCUCAAGCAGGGACAGCCAGUGAGCUGCAGGGGCUUCCUUGAGGAAAUGGUGGGUGCUCCCCCAAAGGAGUCCCCUUGAGGGCCAUGCAGGCCCCAGGGAACACAUGGCAGCUGGCUGUCCUGGGUUGCCUGGGCUGUUCAGUGAAUUAGGGGGAUGAGAUGCCUUUCUUCCACCAUUUGUUUUGUAGGAGCUCAGUUAGCACCAUGCAGAUUUAUUUGGAUUCUAGGAGAGAGGAAAUAAGAUGAAUAAGCAGUGGAUAAAAGCCAAGGUGAAAUGUACUGAAGUGGAAGGAGUGGACCCUUGUUUUUUGGAGGAGGGCAGACUGAGGGAUGAGAUGUUGGUUAUUACUUUGGUCCAGGCAACAUUCCUCUGUGAUCUUAGACACGUUGCUUGACUUUGUUUGCUAGCAGGAAAUCUGGCUUGCCUGGCAGAAGGAUUAAGAGACGGAAUGAAUAUUUAGCACUAACUAACCAAGAGUGUUUGGGUGAAACUGAAAUAUUUUGAUGUAUUAGAUCUGAUUUUACCAACUGACUUGGUGACUUAUAGGUGCUUUUGUUUGGUGUUGAGCAAGUGUUACUGCAAAGCAUUAGCAGCAGUGUGUUUGGGUAGGGUUGCAUGUGCUUGUUGAGUAGGUGGCAGGAGAGGGUUUGUUUUUCAUUUGCUUAGGUUUUUUAUUUAAAACAAUUGGAAUCCUUGGGGAUUUCUUUUUUGUGGAAUGGAGCUAUAUGGAUCUGGCAUCUGUAUGUAAUAAAAGUAGAAAGUAUCUCUGACCCUUAGGGCAAUGUCAGAUUGAGAAACCUGUAUCAAUUAGAGCAGAAAAAAACAAAUUAUUGUUAAAUUUCUGUGCCUGUGGCACUCUCUCCUCUAAGGAUGCAUGAAUGGUCUUGGGUUACAGGGAUACCUCAGAGCACCCAGGGGUGACCUACAUACAUCAUCACACUGUGCACUAACCUCUCUCUUGUCCCUGCAACUUUUGGAGAUCAUCUUCCAUACCUGAACAUCAUUCCAGUGUCCAUAAACUGUCUAGAGCUAGUUCUUGUUUAACUGUUGCAGCUGCAUGGAACUUGCAUGCACGGAUCUGUUUUCAUUCUGAAAUUUCCCCACAACACGUAAAUUCUUAGAAAUUUCAUUGAUGUACAGAGCAAAAUGAAACACUGACAGGCCACUUUUUCAAAAUCUUCCCUCCAGUAUUUUGGGGGGAGUGUGUGGUUUUUGUUUCAACCUACUUCCUUCUGCUCUUUGUUUAUUGGGAGCCAAGGAGGAGGCUUGUUGGACUGAUUGCUGUUGUUUAUUAAGCUUGCUUCCUUUAGGAAGAUUUUCAAGACCACUGUGGCCAGCACAGGGAAAUGCCUUCCUAUGCUCCACCUCUGCUCAGAGGGCAGGAGUCUGGCAUAAAAAAACAAACAAGAAAACCUUGGGAAUAAUCCUUUCUUGAAAAGAGACAGUCCAGACUCAGAGCAUUUGAAGUUUCCUGGAACCAGGGAUCAUAAUUUCUGUGGAUUCACAGAACCUUAAGAUUUUGUACCUUAAAACAGCAUUUGCCUGUGCAGGCAAAAGGAGCCUUUAUGUUUACUGUUUUGCUUGUGGUUAGUUACAGAUAAUUACUUAAAAUUCUCAGGUGUCUGGAUAGCAUGGAGUAUUGGGAAAGGAGAAGAGAUUCUUCUGUGCCAGAGGCAGCAUGGACAGCAGGGAGGUGGGCUGGCUCCUCUCUUUGGCCUGUUGCCUUGGGUGGGUCAGACUCCCUGCUCAGUUUCUGCAUCCCAACAGUACUGUGUGCCAGCAUUAUUAGCAGUGAUACAUUAUAAAUUAUUAACAUUUGGAAAAGGUUUGAAUUUAUUUGCAGAGAGCUGUUCUGGGCAAAAAAGAUGAAUAGUUUUUUGGCUUGGGUUGGGUUUUUUUAUUGUUUAAUUCCCUUUUUUAUUUUUCAUUUAGUUAGCUAGGUUUGAGUCCAUACUUUGACUCAUAUUUUAAACAGCAGCAUCAAGGAUCUCACUGUUUAUGCCAGCAGGGCAUUUGGCCCUCUCCACUGUGCUCUCUGCCUCCCUUCUGAAAGGUGAUGUGGGAUGUAUUGAUCCCAGCUUUUAGGACUUGUUCUAUUUCUGAACCCAGACUGCAGUGUAAAGUACAAACACCAUUUUAAAAGGGAAGAUCUAUAUUAGAAUGACAAAGAGAAUAAAUUAAAGCAGCAUCCCCUCUCUAAUGGUCUGCAGGCAGUCAUUAAGGAGGGAAUGCCCAGUGCUGUCUACCUGAAUGAUGCUUUAGAGUCUUCAGUAUCAGGGGACUUCAGUGAGCACAGUAUUGAUUUUUGUUCCUACAUUAAGCUUUUAGCUUUGCAGAUGGUUUUCUUUGAAGUCAUUAACAUUGCAAUGUGCAGCAUGAGGGGGAAAUAGCUCUGCUGCUGUGCAGGUACCACCUCUGAUCACUUCCUUCUUCCCUUCCUCUGUUGAGCCAUCAUUCAGCUGAUGCACCUGCAGGAGAGUGAGGAGAAAAGGAAGUGAAGUUGCAAGCCAGGACAGCCUUGGAACGGGGACAGGACAAGGAGCUUUUGCCCUUAACACUCCUGACCUUGCUGCUGUGAAGGAAAAGGCUGGAAGUUCUCGGUUUCUACAGUCACGACUGUCCCAGCGAGCUCAUAUCUGCCCUGUUGAGAGAUGCCGGCACCCUCUGGGCGGGGUGAGAGCAUGAAUGCAGCUGGGGAGCACCAGUGUCGGGCGGGUAUCGCGCCUGCCUUUACCAGCCUGACGGGAACAGACAGGGACAAAGGUUCCAGGCCAGCUCUACGACUGUGCCAGCCUGUACUGCUCCUGGGAAGGGUCCUCCUGCUGCGCUGGCUGCCGGUGACCUGCCAGGGGACAUGGAGCUGCUGGCUGUCACAGCACCAGAGGAAGCAGGGAAGGAUGCAACAGAGUCACAAACUGAGGUGGAAGGAGCAGAAAAAGCAGUAGCAAUGCCAGAAGUGGAAAGCCCAGUGGGGAUAGGUCUGGGUGGGAAGGUGGUCACUCCUGAAGGAGCAGCGGCAAUUGUGGCAGGAGAAUCGGAAAGCCCAGUGGCAGAAAGAGUUGCUGAAGCAUUUGCUAGGGCAGCAGAGAGAAUUGCAGUAUCAGAAGUUGCCAAGGUGUUGCAGUCAGCAAUAGCUGAGCUCAAAGGGAAGAGGAGGAGCAUGUGGAUAAAGCCGAGGAAUGCCACUCAGCGGGAAGAAGGUUGGAUGAAAGAGGGAGAGGUGAAAUGAAACGGAGAGGUGACGUUCUGGGACAUACCUCCUAAUGGGGAGCUUGUACCAUCACGCCUGCAAUGCAAUAGGGUUGCCAAUCACAUCUCAUUUGUGAACCACUAUACGAUUAAAAAUAAAUAUAUGGCA